CGAAAUGAGCUUCAUAAACCAAAAAAAAAAAUUGUUGUUCUACGGCAUCCCCAAACAAACCAAUGAGGUUAUUUACAAGACCACAUCUUUUGCAUUGGGCAAGUUACUGGAAAUUCCCGUUGAAGAGGCAGACCAAAUUCAAAUCAUCAAUGCUCAUCGUCUACCUACGAAGAGGACCCACAACGGAGCCAGCGGAACCCCGGCCCCCGAAGCUUCUGAUCCCAUCAUAGUCCGUUUUGCAUAGAUGUACGACCGGGACCGAAUUCUUCGCGCCUUCGAGCAGCCAAGGCAACCCCGGGCUACUGACGGCAACCGUAGGGAUGGCGACCGUGUAACCGUCCGUACUGACCCACCCCCAUCUUUGAAACGCGAGCGUGGUCAUCUAGCAUCAGUUGCAUAUAACAUUUGCAGAACCAAGCAAUUGAAAACCAGGAUAAGGAUUCAAGGAACCAAAGUACUGCUGCAGACUAAAAACCCUAAUGCACCUUCUUCACAGUGGUCAACUUGGACUGAGUAGAUUUACUUAUCACAUGCAACAUCAUGACUAUGGAAUUAUGAAUAUCAUUGGAGACCGAGUCAAAUUCAAUCCCCAUAACUUUGCAAGGACGAAUGGAGUAGGCCUGAUCCAUCUUCUAUACAGAUUAAGAUUUUGUGCUUAGUCCAGAAAGCCAUAGUAGGUUACGUAGUCUGGUACUUUACAGCUACAUAUAAAGAUUUUGUGCUUAGUCCAGAAAGCCAUAGUAGGUUAUGUAGACUGGUAGUUUACAGUUACAUGUAAGUAAUAUUGACUAUUUAAUGUAUGUUCCUCUGGUCAUGUCAUGCAUGCUUCCUUUAUUUCAUCAUAUUUAUUUAUCUAUUUUCUCUUCAAUAUCAUCCAAAUGGUGAUGUUGUUUAAUGGUACAGUAACUGUUAUUACAAUGCAUGGCUAUUUAAUUUGUUUUAAUCCUUAUUUUUAAUUUAUUACAACACCCUUUUAU